UUUGGGUUUCCAUGGGGAAAGAAACAUACAGAACAAUUAAAGCAAUCAUCUGUGAGAGCAGUGCAAAAGGUUGCAAAAGGCUGAUGGUAUUUGUCCGUUUCUGGCCAGUGGAUGGAUUCAGCUCCAACCUCCCCACAGCAAAGAUCACAGGGCAAAAGAACUUUCAGAGACAUACAAAGAGGAACUGCUGGCUGCAGGGUGGAAGCCUGAAACCAAACCCCUUCCUGACCCACCAAAGAACACCCUGGGCCAACAGGAGGAUCAGGGGGAAGAGCAGGAACAGGAUCUUCAUGGCUGCUGCCUCUCCUGGGUCUUCACAGGGCUGCAGAGGGGACACCAAGGCAAUGGGGACAUGCAGGAGCCCAGGCAGGGCAGGAGCCAGGGCUCUUCACCAAACUGCAGAUGGACUGUUUCCAAACACAGCUGAUGAUGUUUCCUCUACUUCCCUCGUAGAAAGAAUUCUGUGGUUUGUACCACCCUGUCAACCUCAGGAGCAUUUCAUGAUGCUUCAGUCUCUGGAAAAUCCAUUACCUCAUCCAGUCCUUUUCCAGAAGACCCCACAGUCACCUACCUGAUGAAGGUCUGGGUGUUCAGACAGCUCCAAACCCAACAAGAAUCGCUGUGUCCAGCAACCCUUGGGUUCAAGGAGCACUUUUUGGCCAAAACACUUUGAUUUUAUAUUGUUGCAA